AGAUAAGAAGCAAUGUAUUGCACCUAGUUUCGACCUAGGCUUAAGAGCCCCCCCCUCCUUAUCUA
rnacentral:tRNA from 1 species